rnacentral:rRNA from 1 species
ACGGGGUGCAGCAGGCGCGAAAACUUGGCAAUGGGGGAAACCCCGACCAGGGGAAUCCAAGUGCUUGCACUUUGUGUAAGCUGUUCGGUUGUCUAAAAAACAGCCGAAGGAAGGGCUGGGUAAGACAGGUGCCAGCCGCCGCGGUAAUACCUGCAGCCCGAGUGGUGAUCGAUUUUAUUGAGCCUAAAGCGUCCGUAGCCGGUCUAGUAAAUCCUUGGGUAAAUUGGGCAGCUUAACUGUCCGAAUUCCGAGGGGACUGCUAGACUUGGGACCGGGAGAGGUCAGAGGUACUCCAGGGGUAGGGGCUAAAUCCGAUAUGGUUUUGUGCCAGUCGGUUAGCAUUCCUGUAAUCCUUGGGGGACCACCAGUGGCGAAGGCGUCUGACUAGAACGGAUCCGACGGUAAGGGACGAAACCCUGGGGCGCGAACCGGAUUAGAUACCCGGGUAGUCCAGGGCGUAAACGCUGCAAGCUUGGUGUUGGGGACCCUACGAGGGUGCCCAGUGCCGGAGUGAAGAUGUUAAGCCUGCCGCUUGGGGAGUACGUCCGCAAGG